rnacentral:rRNA from 1 species
UACAGAGGUCUCAAGCGUUGUUCGGAUUCAUUGGGCGUAAAGGGUGCGUAGGCGGCGCGGUAAGUCGGGUGUGAAAUUUCGGAGCUUAACUCCGAAACUGCAUUCGAUACUGCCGUGCUUGAGGACUGGAGAGGAGACUGGAAUUUACGGUGUAGCAGUGAAAUGCGUAGAGAUCGUAAGGAAGACCAGUGGCGAAGGCGGGUCUCUGGACAGUUCCUGACGCUGAGGAGCGAAAGCUAGGGGAGCAAACAGG